CAAUAGCGUAUAUUAAAGUUGUUGCGGUUAAAAAAGUUCGUAGUUGGAUUUCUGUGAAGGAUAACCGGUCCGCACUAUGUGCGUGUAUCUGUUUGUCCUUUGCAUCCUCGCGGAAUACGUCACUGUGCUUCACUGCAUGGGGCGGGCUUCGCGACUUUUACUUUGAGGAAAUUAGAGUGUUCACGGCAGGCUCACGCCAUGAAUAUAUUAGCAUGGAAUAAUAAUAUAGGACCUUGGUUCUAUUUUGUUGGUUUCUAGGGCUAAGGUAAUGAUUAAUAGGGAUAGUUGGGGGCGUUUAUAUUCCGUUGUCAGAGGUGAAAUUCUUGGAUUUACGGAAGAUAAACUACUGCGAAAGCAUUCGCCAAGGAUGUUUUCAUUAAUCAAGAACGAAAGUUAGGGGAUCGAAGAUGAUUAGAU
rnacentral:rRNA from 1 species